rnacentral:rRNA from 1 species
GGCUCAGGAUGAACGCUAGCUACAGGCUUAACACAUGCAAGUCGAGGGGAAACGAUAGAGAAAGCUUGCUUUUUCUAGGCGUCGACCGGCGCACGGGUGAGUAACGCGUAUCCAACCUGCCCACCACUUGGGGAUAACCUUGCGAAAGUAAGACUAAUACCCAAUGAUGUCUCUAGAAGGCAUCUGAAAGGGAUUAAAGAUUUAUCGGUGAUGGAUGGGGAUGCGUCUGAUUAGCUUGUUGGCGGGGUAACGGCCCACCAAGGCAACGAUCAGUAGGGGUUCUGAGAGGAAGGUCCCCCACAUUGGAACUGAGACACGGUCCAAACUCCUACGGGAGGCAGCAGUGAGGAAUAUUGGUCAAUGGGCGAGAGCCUGAACCAGCCAAGUAGCGUGCAGGAUGACGGCCCUAUGGGUUGUAAACUGCUUUUAUAAGGGAAUAAAGUGAGCCUCGUGAGGCUUUCUGCAUGUACCUUAUGAAUAAGGACCGGCUAAUUCCGUG